UACGUAGGGUGCAAGCGUUGUCCGGAAUUAUUGGGCGUAAAGAGCUCGUAGGCGGUUCGUCGCGUCGGCUGUGAAAUCCCGAGGCUCAACCUCGGGUCUGCAGUCGAUACGGGCGGACUGGAGUUCGGCAGGGGAGACUGGAAUUCCUGGUGUAGCGGUGAAAUGCGCAGAUAUCAGGAGGAACACCGAUGGCGAAGGCGGGUCUCUGGGCCGAUACUGACGCUGAGGAGCGAAAGCGUGGGGAGCAAACGGG
rnacentral:rRNA from 1 species